GCGCGGUUGUCUGCGUGGUUAAGUAUCACGCUGGCAACGUGGAGACGCAGGUUCGAAUCCUGAUCGACUCU